ensembl:lncRNA
AGAAGAAACAUGUAUGGUUGUAGUAGACCGAACAGAAAACAGUGAACAGAACACAACUUAAGUAGGUUGGAAAAUGAAGAUUAUUUUACCCCCCCCCCCAAGAAGAAACAACAAAGGGAGGAACGGAGGGGGACUUAGGAGGAGGACAAAGGAGUGGAUAUGGGAUGGUGACAUGGGAUGGCAAAAGGCUGGCAGGAAGGCAGGAAGACAAAAGUGGAGGUUCGGCCAUAGGACGGACACCCGGGAGGAGGACGACGAACAGACUCCAGGGUGAAAAUGAUGGAGAGAGGAGCCAGGACGGGAAAAUAAGGGACCAGGGCAGAUCAGAUGGAGGCCAAGGAGGGCUGUCCAUGGGCCAGAUCAUGGUGCCGUGGGGAAGUGGGACCACUGGAAGAGGUCUUAUCUUCAUUCCAACACCUGUAGAGGAGCAAAGGGUGGAACAAAUUCUCCCCGUUCGCCAGUUCAGUCAUACAAGACCUUAAGUUACUCUCAAAAACAGGCAACAGCUGAAUUGAUUUUCAGAUCCUCUUUGACAAUGCCAGCUAGCUACACAUAUUCACCCACUGUUCAGGAGAUAUAAACGCUGGCCUUUAUAAUGGUACAGCUACUUCAGUUUGUGGAGCAUGAAUCCGAGUCCGGCACUUUAAACCAAUCUUCCUGAAAUACUAAGCACUCAGGACCAGUGAUAAAAGAGUUUUGGCAUUGCAGAUUGUAGAAUGCUUGACGUCAACAAUUUCACCCUAAUUUUUUGGUCCACACAAAUAAUGUAUUUUUUAUUUGUAUUUGUAUUUUUUUUUUAAUCUCCGUUCCCUGCAGUCGUUCUCAAAACACUUUUCUAUACAUAAAAAUAAAAAAAUAAAUAAAAAAACCUUUUGUUCGUAAAGUCAUUGGCAGGGUGAAUCUAUCUGCUGGAGAAAUGUUUUUGUCCCUGCAUGGUCCUCUAUGUUUAUUCUGCUCCUACCACAAUGGAGAAUGGAUUUAAAUCCCAUGUUUCUUAUUUCACACAAUGACAGGCUCCCCUGGCCUUGGCAAAUAAAUGGUGAUUUUCAAAGGUUAGAUGAAAACAGAGGAGAAUAGAGAAUCGGUCUGCUUCUUUUUCUCAGGUCCUAACUUUUCCAGGCUUUAGUUUAUUGUCUGCUUCGCUGGAGCAUUGGACUGCACUUUUUAUGUCUGACUGAGAAGGUGAGGGGAGAUAGGAGACUGUCCUUCUCCAUUUAAACUUGUAUCUCUAUAUCUCCACUUUUGUGUAUCACCAUUUCUUUCUUUCUUUUUUUAUAUAUUUAUUUUUCCUACUUACAGCCCAGCAGGAAGAAGGUUAAUGCACCAUUGCACCAUGUACUAGCGUGCCUACACGCUCGCCAAAAGCUCCACACAUGAGUAGUUCACUUCACACAGACACUUCACAAAGUCAAAAGGGAGUUAACAAAUUGCAGGGAGUGGUGAGCAGGUCGUGUGAAUUCGUAACUGAAUUCGCUGAUGCAGAUCAACACGGAACCUUCCUUCUCCAGUCAGCGAAGUGUUUUAACUCUCUCUCUUUCCACAGCAGAGCAAUUCUGUUUGAGAUGAGAGAGGCACAGCAGGUAUAAAUAAGAGAGGCCAACUUUUCAUGCCCGGUAAUUAACCCCGGGGUGCUAAUGAUCGUUAGCUUAUAUAAAACUAAUGUAACGCAGGUAAAAAUAAAGUCAAUUCAGAGAGAGUGCUAUUCAAAUAGCCUUUGAAGGAUACACAUUUCAUCACUGAUGGACAGAUCAUGGGUAGCCAUUCUGCAUCUCUGCAGCAAAACAUAUUGAACAGCCAGAAGUUACUGUGAAGAUCUGAGACCUUAAAGAACUUUUAAAGAAUCACAAUAAUUACAAGGGACAGGAAAAGUUAAACAGUCUUGCAAAAUUUAGAAAUACUUCUUGCCAGCCAAAGUAUUUAACAUUACUUUUAUUUCAACAACAAUAAUAAUAAUAAUAAUAAUAAUAAUAAAUUUGUUAAUAGAAAUGAGAAGUUUAAUAGUUAAAAUAUGAGUGAAUAUGUGCAUAUAUGCAUACAUAAAUGGCUUUUAAAAAGUGCAUGCACACAAACAUUUUAAUUUUCAUUAAAUUUGCUUUUUGUCUGAGCAGGAACUUAACAGAUUUACUCGCCAGUUGAA